AUGUACCUGGAUGACAAUUUGCUUACUAUUUACUUUGCUCUACUGGGAGUUCAUUUCAUUUUCCAAGCUAUUUCCUUCUGUUAUUACAGGAUGUGGUUCUCCUUGCUGCAUGCUUGCAGCCCCCGCGUCCCUUUCAUCCUUCCCCUGUGCCCCGUUGCCGUGAGUUUGGAGCACCCACAGGCAGCACCAGCUUUGGGGGACAUCAUCUCCCUGUGGGCACAGUGUGACCCACGCCACCGACCGGGGAACCUCGUGCAGGACAAGAUGCCGGGGUGGAUCUGCUGCAGGCACAGCACGCUGGGGGGACACGCGCUGCCCGCACCCUGGGGACGGGUGGCACCAGGUCAGUGGUGCCAUCACAGCACAGAAACAGGAGCCACGAAAUCACUGUCCUGCUGGGAUAUUCAGGUCCCACCAUUACUGGAAGUUUUCUUGUAGUAGGACCAAUUGCACUGUCACCUCUUGGUACUUCAGCCUGAUCACCUGCAUGGGGGUCACCCCCCAUGAGCAGCUUCCAAGGUCCCUGAUGCCCCAUUUCUGUGGACUGAAGCAUUUCCUUCAGGUGAAAAAUGAGAAAAAUCCAUACAUAGAAUCUUUUACUAUUUGAAAGAUGUCUACUUCAAUGUAAUGGGGUACUGCUGUAGACCUUUAUCUCUGCCUUUUAACCUGAGAUACGUUUUCAAAAGGUCAUCAGCUCCAUGCAGCAAAGACCACUCAUUCCCCAUAGUCCAGCAAACAUCUGCUGGUGCCUUAUGCCAAGCCUUGCCCUCCUUGCUUUUCCUGCCUACACUGUCUGCACAAAAAGCCAGACUUGGAUCACUUUUUUACCAGGCAUUUUGUGACUUUUUUUUUUUUUUUACGUCUUGGGGACUUAGUAUACUUGCAGCAUAGGAGAAACUAAAAAAUACAGUUAUUAUCAGGUGGUUUUUCACAUGCAUGCAUCUUUCAGCUCCACCCACCAUUGACAAAAGCAAAGAGCGCAAGGUGCAGUGGUUCAGAAGUGCUGUGUGUAAGAAACGAUAUCCUGACUAAUCCCCUGGUGCCUCUGUUCCUUGCCGUCAGCUGUUUUACAGAGAGAUGUGUCAGCAUGAAGCCAGGUCUGGCCACUGCAGGUUGUUACAGAGCGCAUUACUUGAAAAGCCAUGCCUAUUUAAUAUAGCUUUGUAUAAGUAUGCUUAAAAUUGUGAUGUUAAACUUCUCGACUACAGUGAACAGUUAUUUGCAAUUGCUGUUCUUAUGCUGCCAAGGCAAAUUAACGCCAAGCCCCUGCUAAGGGUGCCCUGCCCAUCCCCUCAUCACAGACCAGCACGUCACAGACGGUGGAGGAGGUGCCCUGUUUCCUUGGGGUGAUGCAGCCCGGGUGCUGCAGGACGAUGGUGCGUUGGUGGAGCAGGCAAAGGCAGGGCCGUGGGCUCCUCGCCUUCCCUGGCGAGUGGCAGGGCUGUGUUUGACCAGUGCUGGUGGUAGGCAGGACUGGCAAGUCCCUACAGUGUCCUCUGGGUUUGUUUCUCUGGAUUUUUUACACUGUGAAGAACUUAAAAUGUUAAUGCCAAAUCAUAUUUAUGAAGAGAACAUUCUGUGGCUAGAAAUAAUUAUCACGGCUAUGUGUAAAACUUUCCAAUGAAAUCUGUAAAUAAGUGCAGCAAAACUCCAUAAAUUUAAUACUUAAUUUUGUGUUGAUGGCUGUAUUUGUAUGGGCGUUUUAUUUUUCAUUUGAAUAAUGUUUUAAUCUCACAUCACAUCUAUUUCCACACAUCAGUGUUUCAUUAUUCUCACUUGACCAGACUCUGGUUUUGCACAGAAUUUAGAAGUGCAGCUAGGAUCCGUCCGAGACUGAAACUAAGACCACAAACUAAUGUACAUAUCGUCCAUGUAUCAGCCUGAGUGUUAAAUGUUUGUGAGCUAUGCUUUAAAGAUAGAAACUUGUUUUAAGGACUGAGAAAUAUAGCAUGUAUAAAGUCUGACAAAAAUGAUUAUAUCACUAAAUUAAGUCUACUUCCCGCAUCACUGUUUUCACUUGGAUUGUAAAAAUUCUUGAGUCAAGACGUAUCUUCAGUUUAUGUGUGUGGUCAUAAACUUCAUGAUACCAUAAUCUCAAACCUGGGAUGAUAUAUUCAGUUGAUACCAUAACCAAAUUAAUAAAUAAGAAUUAUUUAACUCCUUGUGCUUCCUU
rnacentral:lncRNA from 1 species